UACGUAGGUGGCGAGCGUUGUCCGGAAUUACUGGGUGUAAAGGGCGUGUAGGCGGGGAAGCAAGUCAGAUGUGAAAUCCCGGGGCUCAACUCCGGAGUUGCAUCUGAAACUGUUUUCUUGAGUGCUGGAGAGGAAAGCGGAAUUCCUAGUGUAGCGGUGAAAUGCGUAGAUAUUAGGAGGAACACCAGUGGCGAAGGCGGCUUUCUGGACAGUAACUGACGCUGAGGCGCGAAAGCGUGGGGAGCAAACAGGAUUAGAUACCCCUGUAGU
rnacentral:rRNA from 1 species